rnacentral:SRP_RNA from 1 species
GCCGGGUGUGAUGGCACACGCCUGUAAUCCCAGCUACUUGGGAGGCUGAGGCGGGAGAAUCGCUUGAACUCGGGAGGCGGAGGCUGCAGUGAGCCGAGAUCACGCCACUGCACUCCAGCCUGGAUUACAGAGUGAGACCCUGUCUCAA